GCCGGGCGCGGUGGCGCGCGCCUGUAGUCCUAGGUACUCGGGAGGCUGAGGCAGGAGGAUCGCUUGAGUCCAGGAGUUCUGGGCUGCAGUGCGCUAUGCCGAUCGUGUGUCCGCACUAAGUUCGGCAUCAAUAUGGUGACCUCCCGGGAGCGGGGGACCACCAGGUUGCCUAAGGAGGGGUGAACCGGCCCAGGUCGGAGAAGUGGAGUGGAGUGGAGAAAGUACCCCUAGUUGCCUUCUGACAAUGGACAUACAUGCUUUUGCUCACAUUCCAUGGUAAAAACCAGUUAAUCCAUGGCCCCU
rnacentral:sRNA from 1 species